UACAGAGGGGGCAAGCGUUAUUCGGAAUUAUUGGGCGUAAAGGGCGCGUAGGCGGCCUGGCAAGUGGAUGGUGAAAUCCCUCGGCUUAACCGAGGAACUGCCAUCCAGACUGCUUGGCUUGAGACCGGGGAGAGGGGGGUGGAAUUCCCGGUGUAGUGGUGAAAUGCGUAGAGAUCGGGAGGAACACCUGUGGCGAAGGCGGCCCCCUGGGCCGGCCCUGACACUGAGACGCGAAGGCGUGGGGAGCGAACGGG
rnacentral:rRNA from 1 species